rnacentral:rRNA from 1 species
AAACUCACCAGGUCCAGACACAAUAAGGAUUGACAGAUUGAGAGCUCUUUCUUGAUUUUGUGGGUGGUGGUGCAUGGCCGUUCUUAGUUGGUGGAGUGAUUUUUGCGAUAACGAACGAGACCUUAACCUGCUAAAUAGCCCGGCUAGCUUUGGCUGGUCGCUGGCUUCUUAGAGGGACUAUCGGCUCAAGCCGAUGGAAGUUUGAGGCAAUAACAGGUCUGUGAUGCCCUUAGAUGUUCUGGGCCGCACGCGCGCUACACUGACAGAGCCAACGAGUUUUUUUCCUUGACCGAAAGGUCUGGGUAAUCUUGUUAAACUCUGUCGUGC